UUUGGAGAAGGUGCUUCGGGUGCGACCGCGGUCCAAGUCCCAUGGAACUGGGCGUCACAGAGGGUGAGAAUCCCGUACGUGGCCGAGAGGUCUAUCCCGUGCGAAGCCCUUUCGACGAGUCGAGUUGUUUGGGAAUGCAGCUCUAAAUGGGUGGUAAACUUCAUCUAAAGCUAAAUAUCGGCCGGAGACCGAUAGCGCACAAGUAGAGUGAUCGAAAGGUGAAAAGAACUUUGAAAAGAGAGUUAAACAGUACGUGAAAUUGUUGAAAGGGAAGCGCUUGCAACCAGACUCGCGCGCGGGGUUCAGCCGUCCCUCGGGGUGGUGCACUCCCCGUGCGCGGGCCAGCAUCAGCUUGGGCGGUCGGAUAAAGGUUCGGGGAACGUAGCUCCCUCCGGGGAGUGUUAUAGCCCCGGGCAUCAUGCGGCCAGCCCGGGCUGAGGAUCGCGCUCCGCUAGGAUGC
rnacentral:rRNA from 1 species